GACGAACGCUGGCGGCGUGCCUAAUACAUGCAAGUAGAACGCUGAAGAGAGGAGCUUACUCUUCUUGGAUGAGUUGCGAACGGGUGAGUAACGCGUAGGUAACCUGCCUUGUAGCGGGGGAUAACUAUUGGAAACGAUAGCUAAUACCGCAUAACAAUGGAUGACACAUGUCAUUUAUUUGAAAGGGGCAAUUGCUCCACUACAAGAUGGACCUGCGUUGUAUUAGCUAGUAGGUGAGGUAAUGGCUCACCUAGGCGACGAUACAUAGCCGACCUGAGAGGGUGAUCGGCCACACUGGGACUGAGACACGGCCCAGACUCCUACGGGAGGCAGCAGUAGGGAAUCUUCGGCAAUGGGGGCAACCCUGACCGAGCAACGCCGCGUGUGUGAAGAAGGUUUUCGGAUCGUAAAGCUCUGUUGUAAGUCAAGAACGGGUGUGAGAGUGGAAAGUUCACACUGUGACGGUAGCUUACCAGAAAGGGACGGCUAACUACGUG
rnacentral:rRNA from 1 species